rnacentral:lncRNA from 1 species
CACAUCUCCUUUGCCGUUGUGCAACACGAUAUUUUCCUGUAAUCGUAAGCAUUAACAGCAUAAUAUAAUAAAUUAAUUGCAUUAGCAUUAUUUUGAACCUUUAGGAUGUCAUCCGCGUCAUACUCAUCCUCGGACUUGGGAACACAUUCGUUUUCCACCUUCUUUGUUGGAAUUUGGUUUCCCUUCAUUAUCACCUUCCAAAAGGUGAAAGCUGUUGGAUUGAACGAAGAUUUUCAUCCUCUCUUUCCAGUACGUGUAAUUUGUACCGUUGAAUAGAGGUGGUCGUGUGGAGCACUGUCCUUCAUCAAUUCCUGCAAAN